rnacentral:piRNA from 1 species
UACUCACAACAUGGUUUAGGAGCCAUAGC